rnacentral:rRNA from 2 species
GCCCAGCUUGCUGGGUGGAUUAGUGGCGAACGGGUGAGUAACACGAGAGUAACCUGCCCUUGACUCUGGGAUAAGCGCUGGAAACGGCGUCUAAUACCGGAUACGAGCUUCCACCGCAUGGUGAGUUGCUGGAAAGAAUUUCGGUCAAGGAUGGACUCGCGGCCUAUCAGGUAGUUGGUGAGGUAAAGGCUCACCAAGCCGACGACGGGUAGCCGGCCUGAGAGGGUGACCGGCCACACUGGGACUGAGACACGGCCCAGACUCCUACGGGAGGCAGCAGUGGGGAAUAUUGCACAAUGGGCGCAAGCCUGAUGCAGCAACGCCGCGUGAGGGACGAAGGCCUUCGGGUCGUAAACCUCUUUUAGCAGGGAAGAAGCGAAAGUGACGGUACCUGCAGAAAAAGCACCGGCUAACUACGUGCCAGCAGCCGCGGUAAUACGUAGGGUGCGAGCGUUAUCCGGAAUUAUUGGGCGUAAAGAGCUCGUAGGCGGUUUGUCACGUCUGCUGUGAAAACUGGAGGCUCAACCUUCAGCCUGCAGUGGGUACGGGCAGACUAGAGUGCGGUAGGGGAGAUUGGAAUUCCUGGUGUAGCGGUGGAAUGCGCAGAUAUCAGGAGGAACACCGAUGGCGAAGGCAGAUCUCUGGGCCGUUACUGACGCUGAGGAGCGAAAGCGU